rnacentral:SRP_RNA from 1 species
GAUGCUUCUGGCGGGGCUUCUUAAGGGCUGGGGCCGGGCAAGGAAGCGACCGCAGAAAGGCCGGACUUGACGAAUGUCGCCCUGUCAGACGGGUGGUCCAUCACGAUGUUCAUGUUCACACGUUGUAGAGUCCCCGUAGGGGGACACUUACCUUGUGGUUGAAGAUUUGGGGACCGCCGUAGGCUGGAAACAGAGCACGGAAAACCAAGCGCAUUGUUCACUCGGAUGGAUUGCCGCCCCGAGGGGAGGAACGUCAGGACCCAGGUUGAUCCGGUCACUCU